AUUGAACGCUGGCGGCAUGCCUUACACAUGCAAGUCGAACGGCAGCACGGGUGCUUGCACCUGGUGGCGAGUGGCGAACGGGUGAGUAAUACAUCGGAACGUACCUUAUCGUGGGGGAUAACGCAGCGAAAGCUGUGCUAAUACCGCAUACGCCCUGAGGGGGAAAGCGGGGGAUCGCAAGACCUCGCGCGAUUAGAGCGGCCGAUGGCUGAUUAGCUUGUUGGUGGGGUAAAAGCCCACCAAGGCGACGAUCAGUAGCUGGUCUGAGAGGACGAUCAGCCACACUGGGACUGAGACACGGCCCAGACUCCUACGGGAGGCAGCAGUGGGGAAUUUUGGACAAUGGGGGCAACCCUGAUCCAGCAAUGCCGCGUGAGUGAAGAAGGCCUUCGGGUUGUAAAGCUCUUUUGUCAGGGAAGAAACACCGGCUCUAACACAGUCCGGGAAUGACGGUACCUGAAGAAUAAGCACCGGCUAACUACGUACCAGCCGCCGCAGUAA
rnacentral:rRNA from 1 species